GAUGAAGAACGUAGCGAAAUGCGAUAAGUAAUGUGAAUUGCAGAAUUCAGUGAAUCAUCGAAUCUUUGAACGCACAUUGCGCCCCCUGGUAUUCCGGGGGGCAUGCCUGUCCGAGCGUCAUUACAACCCUCAAGCUCAGCUUGGUGUUGGGCCCCGCCGCCCCGGCGGGCCCUAAAGUCAGUGGCGGUGCCGUCCGGCUCCGAGCGUAGUAAUUCUUCUCGCUCUGGAGGUCCGGUCGUGUGCUCGCCAGCAACCCCCAAUUUUUUUCAGGUUGACCUCGGAUCAGGUAGGGAUACCCGCUGAACUUGAGCAUAUCAAUAAGCGGAGGA
rnacentral:misc_RNA from 1 species